rnacentral:misc_RNA from 1 species
UACGGGAGGCAGCAGUGGGGAAUUUUGGACAAUGGGGAAACCCUGAUCCAGCCAUCCCGGGCGUGUGCGAUGAAGGCCUUCGGGUUGUAAAAGCACUUUGGCAGGAAAGAAACGGCGGGGAUGGGUCAAUUUCGCAAAUUGACGGUGCCUGCAGAAUAAGCACCGCCAAUUCACGCCAGCAGCCGCGGUAAUACGUAGGGUGCAUGUUAAUCGGACUACUGGGCGUAAAGCGUGCGCAGGCGGUUCGGAAAGAAAGAUGUGAAAUCCCAGAGCUUAACCUUGAACUGCAUUUUUAACUACCGAGCUAGAGUGUGUCAGAGGGAGGUGGAAUCUGGCGUGUAGCAGGGAAAUGCGUAGAUAUGCGGAGGAACACCGAUGGCGAAGGCAGCCUCCCUGGGAUAACACUGACGCUCAUGCACGAAAGCGUGGGGAGCAAAUGGUAUUUGAGAUACUCCUGGUAGU